GGCCAGCAUCCGAGAGCCCGGACUGGAGAUUUCUGAGAGAGCAGACACCAUCUUAUUUCUGUUGAAUUGUAUUUAGUAACUCAAAAGGCAUAUACCAAGCUGUCAGAAGCAGCUUCAUUUAAAAGAAAUAAAAUUUCUAGUCCUGCCUGAAGUUUAAGCUAGCCCAUGACUACACAAGUGCAACUGUAUUUCCCAGAAUUAAAGCAGCAGCCUUGGAUCCAGAGAUGGACGCCAAUUGAUGAAGACAGCAGAACUGACUGGCUAGUCUGGGUUCCCUGGAGCAGAGCUGUCUCUCCACCCUAGGUUAUCCACUUACUUUUGUACUGUUAUGUGAGAGAGAAAUAAACUUCUAUCUUCUUUAA
rnacentral:lncRNA from 10 species